rnacentral:rRNA from 1 species
GAAGGUCUUCGGAUUGUAAAGCACUUUAAGUUGGGAGGAAGGACAGUAAGCUAAUACCUUGCUGUUCUGACGUUACCGACAGAAUAAGCACCGGCUAACUCUGUGCCAGCAGCCGCGGUAAUACAGAGGGUGCAAGCGUUAAUCGGAAUUACUGGGCGUAAAGCGCGCGUAGGUGGUUCGUUAAGUUGGAUGUGAAAGCCCCGGGCUCAACCUGGGAACUGCAUCCAAAACUGGCGAGCUAGAGUACGGUAGAGGGUGGUGGAAUUUCCUGUGUAGCGGUGAAAUGCGUAAAUAUAGGAAGGAACACCAGUGGCGAAGGCGACCACCUGGACUGAUACUGACACUGAGGAGCAAAAGCGUGGGGAGCAAACAGGAUUAGAUACCCUGGUAGUCCACGCCGUAAACGAUGUCAACUAGCCGUUGGAAUCCUUGAGAUUUUAGUGGCGCAGCUAACGCAUUAAGUUGACCGCCUGGGGAGUACGGCCGCAAGGUUAAAACUCAAAGGAAUUGACG